rnacentral:lncRNA from 1 species
GCGGCUCCAGGCGCGGCUCCGGCGGCGGGACUCGGGUGCCGGCGCUCUAGGCUACCGGGCCGUCCCCGCCGAGCUGCGGCUGUCCUCACUCAUCCUCAGCGAGAAGCAGGUCCUGCCGACUGAGAAGAUGAAGGACGAAACCUGCCCCGCUGAGUGCGGGAGUUCGUCGCAUGCGCAUGUCGUGGAACCUACUCUCCACGAGUUUUUAUUGUUGUUGCUUUUGUACCCCCUCGGGAUCCCUAGCGGAGGCAGUGACUCUCUUUCCCCCCAAGACGUUGUUCCCUGUUUGAAGGUGUUCUUCCUAAUGUUUCCUAGGCUGCUGAAUUCAGCUCUCUAAAAAAUGCGGAAUGCUAACCAUGACUCCCAGGCAAGUGCUACACCAAAGCAUCUAUUCUGCUGGAAACGUUCAUGCUGAUUAACUAGAAAUAAGUUGAUCCUCUACUGAGUAUCAGGGAGUGCGUUUUUCUAUAACAGGAAAAAACGGAAGAAUGCAAGAUGGAAUUUCCAGUACCUCUUUUUAAGAUACAAUUGGUGUUAGCAUAUUACAAUUAUUUUAUUGCAUCAUCACUAUCAUUAGUAUGAUUAAUAGCCACAUAUUUCCUCCU